rnacentral:SRP_RNA from 1 species
GCCGGGUGUGGUGGCUCAUGCCUGUAAUCCCAGCACUUUGGGAGGCUGAGGUGGGUGGAUCACCUGAGGUCAGGAGUUUGAGACCAGCCUGACCAACAUGGUGAAACCCCGUCUCUA